AGGCUACGAUGGGUAGGGGUUCUUAGUGGAAGGUCCCCCACACUGGCACUGAGAUACGGGCCAGACUCCUACGGGAGGCAGCAGUAGGGAAUAUUGGUCAAUGGGCGCAAGCCUGAACCAGCCAUGCCGCGUGCAGGAUGAAGGCUCUCUGAGUUGUAAACUGCUUUUGUACAGGAGCAAAAAAAUCCCUGCGGGGGUUCUUGAGAGUACUGUAAGAAUAAGCACCGGCUAAUUCCGUGCCAGCAGCCGCGGUAAUACGGGAGGUGCAAGCGUUAUCCGGUUUUAUUGGGUUUAAAGGGUGCGUAGGCGGCUUAUUAAGUCAGUUGUGAAAUCCUAGUGCUUAACG
rnacentral:rRNA from 1 species